UGAGCGGCCAGCGAGGGGAUGUGUGAUCGGUGCCUUGUGCGCCCACAUGCCGCCGCUGUUCGAGGCUGUGGGCGCUCUGCGUGGUGUUCGGAAGAGAUUAAGACAAGGCAUUUGUUCCCUGGUGUGGAACCCGUUCGGAUUUAGGCCGGUUGGCAAAGCCUGAGGGAGGUCCGAGGAAACGGCGGUCUAAGUGAGAAUGAGACCUCAUCAGAUGAUGUAACCUGUACAGUUGGAAUGAAAAAAUGCCAUCCCUUUAGAAAGUCUACAAAAAGCAAACCUCAGGAAGUAAUAAUUUAUUUUUAUCCCUGAAGAGGCCUGCCUUCAUAUAGCUACAUGCAGCUGUAUAGCCAACACAGAGCUGCAUCCUGUCCUGUGCAAGACUGAGCAUGAGAGCAAAAGUUCUCAUUUCUACUGACUCCACAAAAAUGCUUUUUUGAAUAGACUGAGGAAUUGAACACUUUGCAGCUUUGGGCUGUGAAUACCAACAUGUAUUACACAACAUUAUUCUCUUAACUGUUUGAUCCUCCUGGUAAUCAUCAUCUAUGGUUUGCCACCAGGUUUUGUGGAAGGAUAUUUAGCAAGGUUCCAUAGAGCUUUACUGGUAACUUAAUUAGAUGAAAAACUUUUGUAUUUCUAUAAGUUAAGGGUUUGUAUCUGCUUUUAAAAGGAGGGGUUGGAAGAGAAACGUGGUCACUAAUGUUGGUUUUCUGUAAAGCAUAUUUGAAAAAAGAGUAAGAUAAUUUCUAGGUACUCUUCAAUGAGUAAAGAGGGCCUUGAUCUGCUUAUUCAGCAUUGAUUACAAGUACAGUAAAGAAAUUUUUGCAGAUAUUAGACAACAUUUCACUGUUUUGUUUUACUUUUGGUUUGAUUUGCUCUGUGCUUUUGUUUGGGUUGGUCAUUUUUUGAGGGAACUUUUAUCUAGUGCUGUGAAUUUCUAAAUUGGAAGAUAUUUCUUUCACUAAAGGUGAAAACAUUUUCACAUGUUUUGCUCGAUUUCAUGUGCUGUUAAUAUUGCUAUUAAAAUACUAUCCACAAAGUUUCUAUCUUGCUACCAUUUUGUGUUUGUGUUAAUUUACAUGUUUUAUUUUUAAUACCUGCAUACGUAACAAAUAGAAAGACACUGCUGUUUUGAAAGAGCAGUAGCUAUUAAAUAUUCAUAGCUUGUGCUUGGUUAAGGAGGCUCAGUAACCCCUGUUGCUUUGACACAAUGGCUUUUCACUGUACCAUGGAAACUUUGAUAUGAAGGCUGUAUUCUGAUUAUUGCUCAGAUUGUACAUAUAUAGCAUGUUGUUCUACUUUGCCUGUUUAGUAUCUUUCCAAUAUGUUUUAAGAAAUGGGGGGAAAACCUUAUGCAGUAACAGAUGUGUUUAAGUUCACUAAAACCAGUGCACCUUUGUGAACCUUUCUAAUAUUUUAAUUUUGUCAUUUUAAUAUUUAAAUUUUGUCUUAGGUUGCAAAUGCAAGGUGUGGCAGGAGGUGUGUAUUCUAUUGCCAUCUGUUAGAACCAGGUGGGGCAGUUUUCUUUAUUUCUUCCACAACCAAUCCUCCCUCGGGGGAAUAUAUUCUGUUAAUGGGCCAUUGAGUGUCACUGCACAGCUGAUAAAACUACAUCAUCCCAUUGGAGAUGCUCCACCCAGGGGGAGGAGCCAAACAUUCCUACCUGGAGACAGUUGGAGCUUUGGAACACCACAGUGAGCCUUUUCUACUGGAUUCCAGAGGAGCAGCUUUCUUUUCCACUGGAUUCCCAGAGGAAGACCAGGCCCAUCUACACCACCACUGGAUCUUCAGGGGAAAACUCCACCCUUCUGCAGGAUCACUGCUUUAACAGAGCCACAUCUGCCACUCCAGCAGGACUGCAGCCACCAUUUAAUGGGACUGCUACAACACCCUGACCCACAGGGUGUCAGGGUAAUGCAGUCUCUUACCUGAAUCAUCUGCCAAAGAAAUGUUGGUGAAUGUGCCAUCCUCCUCGUCCAAAGGUAACUCCAUUUUCCUGCCUUUUCCCAAAGUUUUUGAGAUGUGUGUUAGGCAUGGCAGUUGUCAGCCAUUUUCAAGUGCACACGUGACUUCUCUGGUUAAAUCUUUAAUGAGUCCAGCGCAGGUGUUACUGGCAGCUGCACACGCCUUGCUCUGUGUGCCAUCUCCUCUGAACCUUGAGCUCUUUUGCGGAAAUCAUUCAGCUGGAAAGUUUCUGACUUCUCACUGCUUUGUCAAACAAAUGCUGAAAAAACACUGCUAUUACAAGUUCUUUCUAUAACAGAAUUUUAUGCAUCCUGGCUGUCUUUUUGUUGUCAUUCUCCUUUAUUUUCUCUAGGGCUGCACAGGGGGGAUUUUCUUGGAGGGAUUUUUGAUAGAGAAAGCAAAAGUAACUUAGUGUUCAAGAAAUGUUGCUUACAGUCCAUGAAAAUGCAAUGGACAGAACCUGAGAGCAGCAAUUUUAAAAUACAAUCUUCAAAUACUUAGGAAUGCAAGUGACUAUAUUUACAUGAAACAGCUGCAUCAAAACCAUUAGGUAAUGUGAAAAAGUGAAGGUAUGUAAGUGAGUGUCAGAAGUUCUGUGGUAGAAGACAGAGGAGUAAAGAAGAGAAAUCAAGUUCAAAGAAAACCCCACUUUAGUCAUCUUGUUUUGCUUCUUAAUGCUGGACAUAGUUUGAACAUACAAAUUAAAAAAUCACCUCAAACUGCUUACUUUAAGAAUAUAUUAAGAGUAUAUUUUUUUUGUACUCCUGGAACACAGUAUUUUUUCUUGCAAUUAAUUAGAAACUAUAAAAUGGCCUUGACCGAAGACAGAAUAGUGAAUAGUGGAAUUACUAUUUUCAGGGUGUUGUAUCAGAAUCUACUUGUCCUUUAUUUUUUUAAUUUCGUAUUUAGAAAAAGACUGUUAAUUAAGGGUGUUGACAAAUACUUUUUUUUCUUAAUUGUAAUUCGGAGCCUUUCUAAAGUCUCCCUAAAAAUCAUAUCCGAGUUUUGUGAAGCAAUGACCAACUAUCGAAUGAGAAUUCUCUGAAUUUACAGUUUGCCUUUCACACUUUUGGAUGUAAUCUUGGACUCGUGAGACAGCUUCUAUGUACAAAGGAAAUGCAUAUAACUUUGCAGGACAAAGGACAGAAGACACAGAAUCACAAAAUUAAUUAGGCUGGAAAAGACCUCUGAGAUCAUCAAGUCCAGAGGUCUCCUUUGAUCACCACAGUGUCAACCAGACCAUGGCAUUGAGUACCACAUCCAGCUGUUUCUUGAACACCUUCAGAGAUAGUGGCUCCAUCACUUCCCUGGGCAGUCCAUUUCAUAGUUAAAAAAAAACCCUUUCCCUUUUAUCUCGUGAUGUCCUGAUAUUUUACUGGUGAAAAAACAUCUUUGGACAGGUGAUGCCAUGUUAAAGUACAAGUACCCAUUUCUUGCUGUCACCAUGUGUCAUUUAAAAGGAGGAACACAAAGGAACAGCAGCAGACAGAAAAAAAGCUUAAAAGAAAGGUAUGUAAUGGAAUUAACUGUCAGAGCAAAAGAAGUUUACUUAUUUCCAAAAGUGAAUUAUUUUCAGUGGAGAAAAUUAAUGUAAAAGUUAAUUUGGUUAUAAACUAUCAAUUCAUCUUUCUGAGGACUUCAUUACCAAGUUGAGCAGAGGUUGUGGAAUGCUGAGCAGCUGUCUGGCUGCCUUUUAAAAUAGGUGUCAGGAACUGGCAGAGGAGGUUGAGGGUAAGGAAAGUAUGGGGACAGCAUCUUCUAUAGCUUCUCCUGAGGCUUUUGUUUGAUUUUACAGCAGUAACAUCAGUUCAUGUAGCCAUGUGCUGGCCUGGUUUUGAUGAGUGUUGAUAACAAGCACAUCAGCAGAUCACUGUCUGGACUGUGGUGAUUGCCAUGAAAGCAAUAGAUAAACACCCAAGAAUGUCUUCAGGCUUGGUACUGAAAUGAAGCCCAAGAUUUUGAGGUUGAUCUGUGUCAAGGACACAAAUGGAAAAGGGUGUAGAUCCUUAGAUUUAAAACACCAUAGAUAAACCUCUCUGGUAGUAUGUUUGCAUUUUCAUUUCUGUAAGUACUGUGUAACUGUUUUCUAAUUAAAGCGUUUUUACAGUGACCUGAAAAGGAA